UACGUAGGGGGCAAGCGUUGUCCGGAAUCAUUGGGCGUAAAGCGCGUGUGGGCGGUCCGGUAAGUCCGCUGUGAAAGUCGGGGGCUCAACCCUCGGAUGCCGGUGGAUACUGUCGGGCUUGAGUACGGAAGAGGCGAGUGGAAUUCCUGGUGUAGCGGUGAAAUGCGCAGAUAUCAGGAGGAACACCAAUUGCGAAGGCAGCUCGCUGGGACGUUACUGACGCUGAGACGCGAAAGCGUGGGGAGCAAACAGG
rnacentral:rRNA from 1 species